GACAGAGGUGCCGAGCGUUAGGCGGAAUCACUGGGCUUAAAGCGUGUGUAGGCGGAUCUGUAAGUACCUUGUGAAAUCCCACGGCUCAACCGUGGAACUGCUUGGUAUACUGCGGGUCUUGAGCCACCUAGGGGCAAGUGGAACAAACGGUAGAGCGGUGAAAUGCGUAGAUAUUCGCAAGAACACCAGUGGCGAAGGCGGCUCACUGGCCCGAUACUGACGCUGAGGCACGAAAGCGUGGGGAGCAAACAGG
rnacentral:rRNA from 1 species